rnacentral:rRNA from 1 species
AUUGAACGCUGGCGGCAUGCCUUACACAUGCAAGUCGAACGGUAACAGGUCUUCGGAUGCUGACGAGUGGCGAACGGGUGAGUAAUACAUCGGAACGUGCCUAGUAGUGGGGGAUAACUACUCGAAAGAGUGGCUAAUACCGCAUGAGAUCUACGGAUGAAAGCAGGGGAUCGCAAGACCUUGUGCUACUAGAGCGGCCGAUGGCAGAUUAGGUAGUUGGUGGGAUAAAAGCUUACCAAGCCGACGAUCUGUAGCUGGUCUGAGAGGACGAUCAGCCAGACUGGGACUGGGACACGGCCCAGACUCCUACGGGAGGCAGCAGUGGGGAAUUUUGGACAAUGGGCGAAAGCCUGAUCCAGCAAUGCCGCGUGCAGGAUGAAGGCCUUCUGGUUGUAAACUGCUUUUGUACGGAACGAAAAGCCCCGGGUUAAUACCCUGGGGUCAUGACGGUACCGUAAGAAUAAGCACCGGCUAACUACGUGCCAGCCGCCGCCGUAA